AUUAUAUUCAAUCUCUAUAGGAACAUACAAAGCCUAAACUGAACAGAGAAAAUUAUGUCAUUAACGAACUGAUUCAAGAAUAUCUUCAGUUCAAUAAUUACAAAUACACCAGUGCUGUCCUUACACAAGAAUCAGGCCAGACUGAGGAAACAUUGCCUCGUGACAUAGUUGCUAGAGAACUACAAAUUCCACCAGAUGACAGCAAUUUGCCUUUGCUCUACAGAAUAGUUAAUCAUCUGGCACAUAGCACUUAAUGCAGAGAUAUUUAAAUAAAAUUAAAUUACAACAAUGAUGAACUAAAAAUUUAGUUUUCAAUUUCAUUUGUUAAUUUUAUAUUAAUCAUAAUGCCACCAUUAUCAGGCAGAAAA